rnacentral:rRNA from 1 species
UACGGAGGGUGCAAGCGUUGUCCGGAUUUAUUGGGUUUAAAGGGUGCGUAGGCGGCCCGUUAAGUCUGGGGUGAAAGCCCGCUGCUCAACAGCGGAACUGCCCUGGAUACUGGAGAGCUUGAGUACAGACGAGGUUGGCGGAAUGGACUGAGUAGCGGUGAAAUGCAUAGAUACAGUCCAGAACCCCGAUUGCGAAGGCAGCUGACUAGGCUGUUACUGACGCUGAGGCACGAAAGCGUGGGGAGCGAACAGG